AAUGCUAAGCGCCUGAAGUGUGGCACCGUCUUCGGAUGGUUCCUCAUGGAGCGCGCGACCCUAGCGAGUAGUAGGUAAGCAAUGGAGAGACGCAGGAAGGUAGCCGAACCGCGGCGAUGGUUGUUCCGCGGGUAAGGGUGUAGGGCGAGGUGUAGGCAAAUCCGCACCUCAUGUGCCUGAGACCUGACACGGACCCGUAAGGGGAAGUCGGUGAUCCUAUGCUGCCAAGAAAAUCUUCUAGCGAGGUUCUAGCCGCCCGUACCCCAAACCGACUCAGGUGGUUAGGUAGAGAAUACCAAGGCGAUCGAGUGAAUCGUGGUUAAGGAAUUCGGCAAAAUACCCCCGUAACUUCGGGAGAAGGGGGGCCCAGAGGGUGACGGGACUUGCUCCUAGCCUGAACGGCCGCAGAGACCAGGGAGAAGCGACUGUUUACUAAAAACACAGGUCCGUGCCAAGUCGCAAGACGAUGUAUACGGACUGACGCCUGCCCGGUGCUGGAACGUUAAGGGGACCGGUUAGCCCCACGGCGAAGCUGAGAACUUAAGCGCCAGUAAACGGCGGUGGUAACUAUAACCAUCCUAAGGUAGCGAAAUUCCUUGUCGGGUAAGUUCCGACCUGCACGAAUGGCGUAACGACUUCUCCACUGUCUCAACCACGAACUCGGCGAAAUUGCACUACGAGUAAGGAUGCUCGUUACGCGCAGAAGGACGGAAAGACCCCGGGACCUUUACUACAGCUUGGUAUUGGUGUUCGGUACGGCUUGUGUAGGAUAGGUGGGAGACUGUGAAGCUGACACGCCAGUGUCGGUGGAGUCAACGUUGAAAUACCACUCUGGUCGUUCUGGAUAUCUAACCUAGGUCCGUAAUCCGGAUCAGGGACAGUGCCUGGUGGGUAGUUUAACUGGGGCGGUUGCCUCCUAAAAGGUAACGGAGGCGCCCAAAGGUUCCCUCAGCCUGGUUGGCAAUCAGGUUUCGAGUGUAAGUGCACAAGGGAGCUUGACUGUGAGACUGACAAGUCGAACAGGGACGAAAGUCGGGACUAGUGAUCCGGCGGUGGCUUGUGGAAGCGCCGUCGCUCAACGGAUAAAAGGUACCCCGGGGAUAACAGGCUGAUCUUGCCCAAGAGUCCAUAUCGACGGCAUGGUUUGGCACCUCGAUGUCGGCUCGUCGCAUCCUGGGGCUGGAGUAGGUCCCAAGGGUUGGGCUGUUCGCCCAUUAAAGCGGUACGCGAGCUGGGUUUAGAACGUCGUGAGACAGUUCGGUCCCUAUCCUCUGCGCGCGCAGGAAACUUGAGAAGGGCUGUCCCUAGUACGAGAGGACCGGGAUGGACGAACCUCUGGUGUGUCAGUUGUUCUGCCAAGAGCACCGCUGAUUAGCUACGUUCGGGAGUGAUAACCGCUGAAAGCAUCUAAGCGGGAAGCAUGCUUCAAGAUGAGGUUUCCAUGGGGUUUACCCCGAGAGGCUCCCAGCUAGACUACUGGGUUGAUAGGCCGGAUGUGGAAGUGCGGUAACGCAUGGAGCUGACCGGUACUAAUAAGCCGAUAACUUGAUU
rnacentral:rRNA from 1 species